rnacentral:rRNA from 1 species
CCUACGGGAGGCAGCAGUGAGGAAUAUUGGUCAAUGGGCUUACGCCUGAACCAGCCAAGUCGCGUGAGGGAAGACUGCCCUAUGGGUUGUAAACCUCUUUUGUCAGGGAGCAAUUGGCGCUACGUGUAGCGUUAUCGAGAGUACCUGAAGAAAAAGCAUCGGCUAACUCCGUGCCAGAAGCCGCGGUAAUACGGAGGAUGCGAGCGUUAUCCGGAUUUAGUGGGUUUAAAGGGUGCGUGGGCGGAAUGCCAAGUCAGCGGUAAAAUCGAGGGGCUCAACCUCGCUCCGCCGUUGAAACUGGCGUUCUUGAGUGGGCGAGAAGUAUGCGGAAUGCGUGGUGUAGCGGUGAAAUGCAUAGAUAUCACGCAGAACUCCGAUUGCGAAGGCAGCAUACCGGCGCCCAACUGACGCUGAAGCACGAAAGCGUGGGUAUCGAACAGGCUUAGAUACCCUGGUAGUC